CACGUAGGCGGAUUGUUAAGUUAGGGGUGAAAUCCCAGGGCUCAACCCUGGAACUGCCUUUAAUACUGGCAAUCUCGAGUCCGAGAGAGGUGAGUGGAAUUCCGAGUGUAGAGGUGAAAUUCGUAGAUAUUCGGAGGAACACCAGUGGCGAAGGCGGCUCACUGGCUCGGUACUGACGCUGAGGUGCGAAAGCGUGGGGAGCAAAACA
rnacentral:rRNA from 1 species